GUUUUACUAGGACGUUGGUGACUGCCAAUACUGUUUUUUGAUCUUUGUCCGUAAAAAAAAGGGAACUAAAUACUUUUUCUUGUAGCAGUAGACCGGGCAUGUACCCGGAAACUUUAAACGAGAUUACUUAGUACCCACCUGGUUUUCCAGGUCAUAAACUGAGGUAAAACGGCGUCUCGGUGAACCU
rnacentral:other from 1 species